rnacentral:tRNA from 1 species
GCGCUGAUGGUCUAGUGGCUAUGACUGUGGCCUUCCAAGCCAUAAACCCGGGUUCAAAUCCCGGUCGGCGCA